CCUACGGGAGGCAGCAGUGAGGAAUAUUGGUCAAUGGGCGCGAGCCUGAACCAGCGAAGUAGCGUGAAGGAUGACUGCCCUACGGGUUGUAAACUUCUUUUAUAAAGGAAUAAAGUGAGGCACGUGUGCCUUUUUGUAUGUACUUUAUGAAUAAGGAUCGGCUAAGUCCGUGCCAGAAGCCGCGGUAAUGCGGAGGAUCCGAGCGUUAUCCGGAUUUAAUGGGUUUAAAGGGAGCGUAGAUGGGUUGUUAAGUCAGUUGUGAAAGUCUGCGGCGCAACCGUAAAAUUGCAAUUGAUACUGGCAGCCUUGAGUACAGGUGAGGUAGGCGGAAUUCGUGGUGUAGCGGUGAAAUGCUUAGAUAUCACGAAGAACUCCGAUUGCGAAGGCAGCCUACUAAACUGCCACUGACAUUGAUGCUCGAAAGUGUGGGUAUCAAACAGGAUUAGAUACCCGUGUAGUC
rnacentral:rRNA from 1 species